rnacentral:rRNA from 1 species
GAUGAACGCUGGCGGCGUGCCUAAUACAUGCAAGUCGAGCGAACAGACGAGGAGCUUACUCCUCUGACGUUAGCGGCGGACGGGUGAGUAACACGUGGAUAACCUACCUAUAAGACUGGGAUAACUUCGGGAAACCGGAGCUAAUACCGGAUAACAUGUUGAACCGCAUGGUUCAACAGUGAAAGACGGUCUUGCUGUCACUUAUAGAUGGAUCCGCGUCGCAUUAGCUAGUUGGUAAGGUAACGGCUUACCAAGGCAACGAUGCGUAGCCGACCUGAGAGGGUGAUCGGCCACACUGGAACUGAGACACGGUCCAGACUCCUACGGGAGGCAGCAGUAGGGAAUCUUCCGCAGUGGGCGAAAGCCUGACGGAGCAACGCCGCGUGAGUGAAGAAGGUCUUCGGAUCGUAAAACUCUGUUAUUAGGGAAGAACAAAUGUGUAAGUAACUAUGCACGUCUUGACGGUACCUAAUCAGAAAGCCACGGCUAACUAUGUG